ensembl:lncRNA
CUCCAAGUCAAUCCCAGUCCUCAGUUGCCUGAGAGUAGAACUGUAUUUGAGAUAUGGAAAUGCCUAUCUUAUAUAUAAAAAGCAUUGUUGUUACCUGGCUGAGCUCCAGUUCCGCUUCCUUGGUGAUUGGGACCAUCCUCCACAUCCUGUGUGGACUGGGGCUCUUCCUCCUGUUCCUUCCCUCCCUCCAGAGGAAUUUGCCCUUACAACCACCUUACAAAAGGAGAAACGUCAGGAAGCGUCAAAUGAAGCUGAGAGGGAGGAGCAGCAGGAGCAGGAAGAAAAAGGGAGCUUUGAAAGGAGUAUGAAAUGAACAAUGCCAAAGGUGGAUGAAGACCCACCUUGUGGAUAAUCACAAAGUGGAGGUACAGCACUCUUUAUGGAUCCUGAGAACAAAGCUGGCUGACAUGAAGCCUGACCUGAAGAAGACUGCCGUCAGAGCUGAAGCCCUUGGCACCUCAAGGCCUCUCUGGCUUAGCACUAUUUGGGAUUUGUCAACCCAUUCCUGCAAGAAGUCAAUGAUGACCUUUAGAAUUUCGUUCCACAGAACACACUUUAGAGUGAUGACAUAGACAUGAGAAAACUGAAGAAUCUGCUGAGUAACAAGUUGGAUCAAGAUCUAUUUGAAUCUAAAACGAACAGGGGUUAAGUUCUUCAAGGGAAUGCUCAAAGAAUCCUGUACACUGAGAGUCAGGAGCUGAAUGUGGAAUUGGCAUCAUCUCUCAUAUCUCACACGGGGGACGUGCUCUGAAGAGCGACGGCAGAAGGCUGAGAAUUACAGUGGGGGCACUGGAUGUCUGUCAUUUGGAGGGAUGGAUGACGCAAGAGUGAACAGAGGGAAUAAAGAAGAGAUCGUCUAGGACCCAGCUAGAAAGAUGAUGUCACACAGGGAAGAGGCCAUCUGAGGACACAACCAGAAGGAGGCCCUCUACAAGCCAGGAAGAGAGCCCUCGCCAGAAGUCAACCUGAUGGCACCUUGAUCUUUGACUUCAAGCCUCCAGAACUCUGAGAAAAUACAUUUCUGUUGCUUGAACCACCUGGUCUGUGGUAUUUCAUUAUGGCAGCCCAAGCAGAGUAAUACAGAAGGCCAGGCCCCUAGAUCCUGGAAAAGUCUUGCUCUUUGCUGAGGUGCCUGUUAAAAUUUAACGUAUUCAUGAGCUAAUUCAAGUUCUCCAAGGGCUGACCACCCUGGGGAAAGACACAUCUCAACAAACUCGCUGAUGGUUUGAACAAAAUGCAGUAUAUGCUCCAAGGCUCCAAGGGGAAAGGCACUCCAUGAUCGAAAGAGGAUAGCAUCUCUGUGGUUCAACAUUUCCUUUCCAGAAAACAUCAGCAUUCUGAGAGAAUUUAAUUCUCGUAUCUGUAAACACCUUGGAGGUAUUUUCCUGUACUACUCAGUAAGCUAUGUAUUCCUGUUUUCAUCCUGUAGUGACUUUCAAGUGCUUAGCAUGUUGUCUAGAAGACACUAGGCCCUUGGAUAUUAUUUGUCAACUUCAUGUGAACUUCAGAAGAAAAUACCAAUGACUGCAUUUCUGAAUUUCACUCCUCCUCAAGAAGCAAUAGCAGUAGACAGACAGCCCGGAAGGCAUAGAAGGGUGCUUAGAGAGGAAGAUAGAUCAAAGGAAGAAUUGCUUUUCCAUCACACACUCCACCUGGACAGGCUGCUUUGGUUCCUAGAGCUUGGCAGUGCUUGUGCUUCUAUCAAAGCGCUUGGAACAGAAGCUCUUUCUCUACAGCACCCUUCUGCUCCUAAAAUAUGACCUAAACCUCUCCUCUCAGACCCUUCUGGAAGGUUAUAAAACAAAUUCCAAACAACAAGGACUGGAAGGACAAGCUCGUGAACACUAGUGCAUAUGGGAAUACCGCUCGUUACACCACAUAAUGGACUAGUUUGAUUAGCUACCUGUCUUACUGUAUUGUCUUUAGCUCCCAAACAGAAAAAAGCAAGAAUAAUCCCUUAUACAGAGUUUAUUAUACAUGCUCACAUAUGAUAAAACAUUCAUUUCACUUCA